GGGAGGUAGUGACAAUAAAUAACAAUACGGGGUUCUAAAGGAUUUCGUAAUUGGAAUGAGUACAAUUUAAAUCUCUUAACGAUCAACAAUUGGAGGGCAAGUCUGGUGCCAGCAGCCGCGGUAACUCCAGCUCCAAUAGCGUAUAUUAAAGUUGUUGCAGUUAAAAAGCUCGUAGUUGAAUUUCAGGGUUAGUAAGUUGGUCAUGCCAUUGGUAUGCACUGGCUUUACCGAUUCCUCCUUCUUGACGAACUGUGAUGUCAUUAAUUUGGUAUUGCGGGAAAUCAGGACUGUUACUUUGAAAAAAUUAGAGUGCUUAAAGCAGGUUAACGCUUGAAUACAUUAGCAUGGAAUAAUGAAAUAGGACGUUAAUCCUAUUUUGUUGGUUUCUAGGAUCGACAUAAUGAUUAAUAGGGAUAGUUGGG
rnacentral:rRNA from 1 species